rnacentral:rRNA from 1 species
AAUGAACGCUGGCGGCAUGCCUAAUACAUGCAAGUCGAACGAGAGGAAGGAAAGCUUGCUUUUCUGAAUCUAGUGGCGAACGGGUGAGUAACACGUAGGUAACCUGCCCAUGUGCCCGGGAUAACUUCUGGAAACGGAUGCUAAAACCGGAUAGGUAGCAGACAAGCAUUCGACUGCUAUUAAAGUGGCUAAGGCCAUGAACAUGGAUGGACCUGCGGUGCAUUAGCUAGUUGGUGAGGUAACGGCCCACCAAGGCGACGAUGCAUAGCCGGCCUGAGAGGGCGGACGGCCACAUUGGGACGGAGACACGGCCCAAACUCCUACGGGAGGCAGCAGUAGGGAAUUUUCGUCAAUGGGGGGAACCCUGAACGAGCAAUGCCGCGUGAGUGAGGAAGGUCUUCGGAUCGUAAAGCUCUGUUGUAAGAGAAAAACGACAUUCAUAGGGAAUGAUGAGUGAGUGAUGGUAUCUUACCAGAAAGUCACGGCUAACUACGUGCCAGCCGCCGCAGUAAAAC